GAUGAACGCUGGCGGCGUGCCUAAUACAUGCAAGUCGAGCGAACAGACGAGGAGCUUGCUCCUCUGACGUUAGCGGCGGACGGGUGAGUAACACGUGGAUAACCUACCUAUAAGACUGGGAUAACUUCGGGAAACCGGAGCUAAUACCGGAUAAUAUAUUGAACCGCAUGGUUCAAUAGUGAAAGACGGUUUUGCUGUCACUUAUAGAUGGAUCCGCGCCGCAUUAGCUAGUUGGUAAGGUAACGGCUUACCAAGGCAACGAUGCGUAGCCGACCUGAGAGGGGGGUAGGCCACACUGGAACUGAGACACGGUCCAGACUCCUACGGGAGGCAGCAGUAGGGAAUCUUCCGCAAUGGGCGAAAGCUUGACGGAGCAACGCCGCGUGAGUGAUGAAGGUCUUCGGAUCGUAAAACUCUGUUAUUAGGGAAGAACAAAUGUGUAAGUAACUAUGCACGUCUUGACGGUACCGAAUCAGAAAGCCACGGCUAACUACGUG
rnacentral:rRNA from 1 species